GCCUUCUUGGGAGAACCGGACGUCUCUCUUCCUGGCUCUUUCGUGGCUCGCUGGCAAUUUCCCGCUUGGCUGGGAGCGGACCCGGUACCCUUCGUAGUAGCGGCUGUGAUCGCUUAGCGGAGGCCCACGUUUAGGCCGGGAAGCCAUGCCCGUUCGAGCCCGGCUCGCGUUCACCGAGCCGCGUGCCCGCACAAAAGGGGAAACGGGGGAGGGGUGGCCGACGGCCAGCCCGGCUGGCGAGCUGCCCGCAAGGUACGAGGAGAGGAAAAACAAGACUAGCCUGAACUCAACUCCCAGAGAAGUCUUUGUACUCUCACGCAUAGAAGCAUUGUUUAAACUUUGGUCGUAGCAGAUGGGUUGCUUAUUGUUCAAUACGACAUUUCGUACUGUUUGAUCUCAAAAUCAGGCAGAGGACCUGUCAAAGUGAGAAUGGGGACACAGACACCCAGGCAUACAUUUGGAAUAUUUCUACAGAGUUUGCAAGAUAUAAAAACGGACAUUUUAUCUUCUGUUAACAAACAGAAUCGACAGCGCAUCGAUUGGCUGCUGUAAGUAUUGCGAAGAUGCCAAAACCGCUGAAAACUCAUAUGACCAUUUCUCAGGUAUCUCACGCACUGAUCAAACACUAUUGUGUACUGAUUUCAAAAGGUUGUGUGUUUGAUUCAAUUGAUUUCUUGGUGACAAUUGCAGAUUCCCCAGCAAACAAACUGUGUUGAAUUCAUUCUACUUUCAUCUUCAACUGCUCCCUGAUGUUUCGGCCAAACUCCCACAUAGAAUAGUUCCGACACCAGACUGGAACUGUGCUGCUUAUGUUAUAUUAUAAUUCCAGUGCCGCUUAGCUCAAGCAGAGUUCAUUCGAUUGGGACGUGACUGUGGGCAAAAGGCAAGAAAGCAGACAUGAAUGCACGCAGGGUGAAGGAUCAGAGACACAGUAUGACACAUUCAUCUCAAUCCCUCCAGGAAUCUGACACCCACAGAACACAACAGAUGACACCGCCACACUACAAAGCUGCAACCAAGGAGUCAGAAGUCGUCAUCAGUCAUCAUAAAACAGGCCUUACAACAGUGGUGCUUCAGGAAAAAUUCUAGGUUGACCUGGAGGUGAUCUGUCAUGGUGGACACGCGUGUCUGUCUUUAGCGGUGCUAUCAACGCUGUCCACCAUUUGUCCACCAGAGCUACAGUAUUACCAUUCAGACUGCGGUGAAAAGAAAACUGCAGUUGGAGACUCACGACAAGAACAUUUACAAUUCUUAUGAUGAUUCUUUGGAGUAAUUUCCUUAGUGUGUGGGUGUUCCUGUUCAGCAUGUCCAGGGGCAUGAUCUUGUCAACUCCUCGUUUAUCAUUCAAA